GAUCAUGGCUCAGAUUGAACGCUAGCGGGAUGCCUUACACAUGCAAGUCGAACGGCAGCACGGACUUCGGUCUGGUGGCGAGUGGCGAACGGGUGAGUAAUGUAUCGGAACGUGCCCAGUAGCGGGGGAUAACUACGCGAAAGCGUAGCUAAUACCGCAUACGCCUACGGGGAAAGCAGGGAGUCGUAGAACCUUACGUCACUACUUGGUAGGCGGCCGGACGUAUCGGAGUUAGUCUAGUUGGUGGGGUAACGGGCGU
rnacentral:rRNA from 1 species